UUUGACCUUGAAAAUUAAAGUAAUGCAGAAAAGUGAAACUACUUCUAAAAGACUUUUGUAUUAAUGGCUAAGAUAAAGUAUUAAGAGAGGAUAUUAACAAAUUAAAAGAAUUUAACAUAAAUAAUUACGUUUAAUAAUAUUUUUGCGGGUUGGUACCACCGAAAUAGUUUCUUAAGUAACCUGUCAAAAUAACGUUAAUAUAUAAAAUGAAAUAAAAGUGCCGUAUUUUCACCUAAUUCGUAGAAACAAAACUAAUUAAAACUGUUUUUGGUUUUUCCUUUACAUUUCACGUUUAAUAAAACCAUAACAAGUAAAGGGCCAAGAUUUAGUGUAAAUCCGAAAUUAUUUUUGUAAGGUUAGGUUUGAAGAGCUUUUUGAGUCAAAAUUAUAAAAGAAGUUAAACAAGCUUUACGACUCUAAAAAAAUCGCUAAAUUGUGGGUAAGUUUAAUAAGUUUUUUGAUAAUUUGCAAUAAUUAAAAUAAGCUAAAAUAUUUUUUUAGUGGCGAAUUAUCAUUCACUCUCAAUAGAGGGCGGUGUUGGAGAUUUAAUGUAGAUAGUGACAUUUUUUACUUCUGUCAACGUUUACCGGUCAAUGAAUCUAGUAAAGCAAACUUUUCGAUCCUGCGACUAGUAAAGAAAUAUUAACAAAGUAAUCUCCAAAGAAAUUUAAAAUAAUUUAAAAACAAGUUUGAUUCCUUUUUUUCGUGCGUACUGUUAUUUAUGGUACACAUCUGCGACGAGAAGAUAGAGGGACUUUGACGUCGCGACGUUGCAUACGAAACAACUUUCCGAGGGAUAAGAAAGAAGGGGAUGAGGAACGCGAAGAUGAAACGCUUGGAAUUAGAUGAAAAACGAGGGAGAGACUUGGAUGGUCGGAAAAAUAGCUGAUAAGAUUCUAAUCUAAGUGCAUUUUUCAAGAUGUCACUCUCUUUCGCUUUUAGACGCGAAAAAAAAUUUAAAAGAAUUAAUUUUUUUUUAAAUGUUUAUGAUUAUUAUAAGUGACACGUGCUUAUAACCCUUCUUUCGUUCCCCGAUUUCUCGGCGUAAUCUCGCUACAUUGUCCGAGUCGUUGAGAACGCGGUGUAUCUCGGCCUUCACAGCGGAACGUCUGGCGUUAUUGACCCAUUUCGCGUCGUUAUGGCGGCGCGGAUCGGGGCCCCGUUGUGAAUAUUAAGGCCGGAAGGAACCCGCCGUCGACUGCCUUUUCGUAGAUUAAAACGACGCGAACAAAAAAAAAAUAUUUUAAAACUUUUUUUGUACCCUUUUCUAUAGAAAAAUAAAAUGAAAUGAAAAUAA